rnacentral:rRNA from 1 species
UACAGAGGUCUCAAGCGUUGUUCGGAUUCAUUGGGCGUAAAGGGUGUGUAGGUGGCGCCGUAAGUCGGGUGUGAAAUUUCGGAGCUUAACUCCGAAACUGCAUUCGAUACUGCGGUGCUUGAGGACUGGAGAGGAGACUGGAAUUUACGGUGUAGCGGUGAAAUGCGUAGAUAUCGUAAGGAAGACCAGUGGCGAAGGCGGGU